GUAGGUGGCAAGCGUUGUCCGGGAAUUAUUGGGGCGUAAAGCGCGCGCAGGCGGUUCUUUAAGUCUGAUGUGAAAGCCCACGGGCUCAACCGUGGAGGGUCAUUGGAAACUGGAGAACUUGAGUACAGAAGAGGAAAGCGGAAUUCCACGUGUAGCGGUGAAAUGCGUAGAGAUGUGGAGGAACACCAGUGGCGAAGGCGGCUUUCUGGUCUGUAACUGACGCUGAGGCGCGAAAGCGUGGGGAGCAAACAGGACUAGAUACCCUGGUAGUCCACGCCGUAAACGAUGAGUGCUAAGUGUUAGGGGGUUUCCGCCCCUUAGUGCUGCAGCUAACGCAUUAAGCACUCCGCCUGGGGAGUACGGCCGCAAAGGCUGA
rnacentral:rRNA from 1 species